rnacentral:lncRNA from 12 species
GGCCCCAUGAGGUGACCAUGUACACACAGUCUAAAGCCCUCCAAGACUGCAGUUACUGGAGUGGUUCCCAUGUGUUCACUUUUUUGUCUUCUUUUAAAGAAGCAGGGCAGACCUACCCUGCAAAAUGAGAAAAUGGUAUUACUUCCACACUCAGAAGCUGGCUGUUACCUCAUAUAUAUGCUACUUUCCCAUUUAAUUAGAAAGUGAUUUCUCAUCUGGUGUCAGACAGCAUCAAAUGUUGCUGCUCAGUAUCACUGGUAAGCAUUACAGGUUUAGUGGAAAUUACC